AUUGAACGCUGGCGGCAUGCCUUACACAUGCAAGUCGAACGGCAGCACGGGAGCAAUCCUGGUGGCGAGUGGCGAACGGGUGAGUAAAGUAUCGGAACGUGCCCAGUCGUGGGGGAUAACGUAGCGAAAGUUACGCUGAUACCGCAUACGAUCUAUGGAUGAAAGCGGGGGAUCGCAAGACCUCGCGCGAUUGGAGCGGCCGAUAUCAGAUUAGGUAGUUGGUGGGGUAAAGGCUCACCAAGCCGACGAUCUGUAGCUGGUCUGAGAGGACGACCGGCCAAACUGGGACUGAGACACGGCCCAGACUCCUACGGGAGGCAGCAGUGGGGAAUUUUGGACAAUGGGCGAAAGCCUGAUCCAGCCAUGCCGCGUGCAGGAUGAAGGCCUUCGGGUUGUAAACUGCUUUUGUACGGAACGAAAAGGUUUGGCCUAAUAAGCUGAGCUCAUGACGGUACCGUAAGAAUAAGCACCGGCUAACUACGUGCCAGCAGCCGCCGUAA
rnacentral:rRNA from 1 species